rnacentral:rRNA from 1 species
CGGGUGAGUAACGCGUGAGGAACCUGCCUCAAAGAGGGGGACAACAGUUGGAAACGACUGCUAAUACCGCAUAAGCCCACGGCUCGGCAUCGAGCAGAGGGAAAAGGAGUGAUCCGCUUUGAGAUGACCUCGCGUCCGAUUAGCUAGUUGGUGAGGUAACGGCCCACCAAGGCGACGAUCGGUAGCCGGACUGAGAGGUUGAACGGCCACAUUGGGACUGAGACACGGCCCAG